AGAAGAGCACCCCCUUCUCGCUACAUUCCUUCCUUGCUGUCAUGCACCUGUCACUUUCUGCCCGGCGGGCAGGCCGGCCAUCGGGGCAGGGUGCUGCCCGCUGCCUUCAUAACCCCCAUAUUUCCCUCUACAAACCUUUCAUUUCUCUCUCCUUCACUUCACUUCACUUCACCUAUCUCUUCAUUCUGUUAUCCACAAGGCACAGUUCCUUUAUCUCCCUCCCCUAAGAGGGAGGGAGAUAAAUAAAAGCGAAAAAACGGCAAGAUCCAUUUAAAAGAAAUUUGGGGUUUCUUCAGGUUUCCAUUACUACCAUGUUCGGAUUGGGCGCUUCUAGCGGUUCGCUAGCUCGAAUUGGAGUCCACCAUGAAAACAUGAUCGUGUCAGUAUAGUCUGGCGCUAUCCUACCUGAGCUUUAUUACAAUUUUUUGUUCUCUCACUUAGUCUCUCUCUCGUAUUCAUGUUUUCUCUAGUCGUGUUUUUUCAUUUUUAGUUUUCUCCACCUUUAGCUUUCUCCUCGUGUUUGUUUGUUGGAUCAUACCCGGGCUACAUUUUUCUUGACCUUGUAAGACCUUUUCUUGACCUUGUAAGACCCGGUGCUAGAGACCCAACCCCCCGUUAUGAGUAUAGUUGCAAUUAAGCAAUCUGUUUGUGAUAUUCUUUCUCUCAUCUCUGUGCCUUAUCUCCUUCUUCUGUCUGUCCCUCCUGAGCUAGCUUUCGGACUGAUCGGCGCGAGAACUAUAACUAAAUUUUCUCGUCCUUGUGAUGACUGAGUCAUUCAUCCAUCUUUUCAUUCCACUUUUUCUCAAUACACUCUCAUGACCUCCUAUUGAUGAGCCAUGACUUUUUUCCCUUUUCUGUUUUUUUUUUGACGAAAUAUGGGUCGGCUGUAUGUAGUACUUCUUGGGCAUUUUUUGUGUAAGAAUAAUGGUUUUUGUGGAUGAAAGACAAGCGUUUUGGGGCGGUGAAAAUCAUUAGAGAGGGCGAAAAAUAUUUGCAGGUGUUGUUUGGAUUAUGUGUGCAGGUUCUUCGGUUUGGUGUUUGUUUUUAUGCAUUGUAUUGGGCUAAAGGAUGAGUUCAAAGCCUGCAAAUUGUAAAUAUUCUCCCCGUGCUGUAAGUGCCAUUCUCGUGAUUGUGAUCAGUCAUUUUACUUCAAA